rnacentral:rRNA from 1 species
AUGGCUGUUUUUGCGCUCAUUGAUUUCGUGACUAGUGCUGUGGCAUCGCACUUAUGGAAUCCUGUGAUUACACGUAUGAUAUACUUAAUAGAGAAGGAAGAAAAUAUUGGCAAGCUGGACAGCACUAUAAGGAAUCUAGAAGCCAGGAAGCAGGAAAUCCAAAUUCGUCUUAUGAACUCUGAAAGGAAGCAAGAAACAUGUAACCCUGAAGUUGCAGAAUGGCUAGAAAAGGUGGCAGCAAUAGAGAGUGAAGUGAGUGAGAUGAAACAUGGGCAGAGAAAGAGAAGGGCCCAGUCUUUCAGCUAUUGGUCAAAUCACGAAACUGGCAUGCAGGCUGCCAAGAAACUCAAGGAAGCUGAGAUGUUGCAUGAGAAGGGAUCCUUCAAACAGGUGUCAAUUGAGGUUCCACCAUCAGACUGUAACUUAAGCAGAGUCCUCCAGUACCUCAAAGAUGACAGAGUUGGAAUUGUAGGGGUAUGGGGAAUGGGAGGAGUUGGUAAGACCACUUUGCUCAGGAAAAUAAACAAUCACUUCUUGGUUGUAAAUGAAGACUAUGGUUAUGACCUUGUUAUAUAUGCUGUGGCUUCUAAGGCGUGUGGAAUAGGUCAGCUUCAAGCAGACAUCUCUGAAAGGAUUGGACUCUUCCUGAAACCAGGCUCUAGCAUUGAAACACGAGCUUCAGUCAUGUUAAGUUUCUUAAGGCGAAAGAAGUUCUUGCUCCUGCUAGAUGAUUUAUGGAAUUAUUUGGAUCUAGCAGAAGCUGGUAUUCCAUAUCCUAAUGGCCUGAAUAAACAGAAGGUAGUUCUGACAACACGUUAUGAGAGUGUUUGUGGACAUAUGGAUGCUCACAGCAGGGUCUUCCUGGAAUGUUUGGACCAAGAGAAUGCUUGGAAAUUGUUCAAAGAAAAAACAACAGAAGAAACCAUUAAUUCAGAUCCUAGGAUUGAAAAGUUAGCACAUGCAGUUGAAGAAGAAUGUGGGGGCUUGCCCCUUGCUCUUGUAACUAUCGGCCGUGCAAUGUCUACAAAGAAGUCUUGUCAUGAAUGGGCACUUGCUUUGUCAUUUCUGAAGAAGUCUCGCAUUCAUGAGAUUCCAAAUAUGGGGAAUUUAGGGCAGGAUAAGCAGAUCAAAGAGUGCUUCUUAUGUUGUUCUUUGUGGCCUGAAGAUUACUCAAUUUGGAAAGUUGAACUCAUAGACUGUUGGAUGGGGAUGGGUUUGAUAGAGUAUGAUACCAUGGAGGAAGGAUACAACAAGGGUUACUCCAUUAUUGAGUACUUGAAGGACGUGUGCUUGUUGGAAACCGGCUACUUGGAAGAUAGUGAGGUGAGAGUACAUGACAUUAUCCGAGACAUGUCACUGUGGAUAUCUUCUGAUUGCAGUAAAGAGCACAUGAAAUGGAUUGUUCAAGCCGGGCUAGGACUUUAUAACAUUUCUAAUACGGACAUCAAAACAUUUAGGUCAGCCAGAAAGAUAUCUCUAAUGUGCAAUUACAUCACUGAACUUCCUCCGGCCUUGAACUGUCCAAACCUCCAGUUUCUGUCACUACAACAGAAUUUUCGGCUCAAGGCCAUACCCCCUUCUUUUUUGAAGAGCAUAUUAUCUGUGACCUACUUGGAUUUGUCCUGGGUUCCCAUCAAGGAACUUCCAGAAGAAAUUGGCAUACUGGUUGAACUCCAGUAUCUCACGCUGAAGCAAACACACAUUAGAUUAUUGCCUAUUGCUAUCGGGUUACUAAGAAAGUUAAAGUUCUUGGACAUCAGCUAUAUGGAUUUCUUAGAGAAGAUACCCUAUGGUGUUUUUACAAAUUUGUCAAUGCUACAGGCCUUAAACCUAUAUGGUAGCAGGUAUGCGGGCCACGAAGCAGAUUUUGAUCCAGCAAACCACAUGGAUUAUGAUGAGUUUAGAGUCGAAGAAUUACCUUGCUUAAGUCUAGGAAUAACAGCAAAGAGAGUGAGUACUCUGCAGAGGCUUUUUGAUGUACCUGGAGUCCACUUGAGAUGCCUUGGUUUAUAUGAAUUGAAUGGAGAGAGAUCUCUUACACUCACCUUAACAGAAAGUAUUUUUGUUCUGAAUGUAAUGGGCUAUUCUGAUUUAGAGGACUUCUGCAUUAUGAACAAGCCGCAAUGUUAUGGAGACCAUCUUUCGAGGCUGGAGUUCCUGACCUUUUGGGAUCUUCCUCGACUUGAGAAGAUUAGUAUGGAGCAUCUUCAGAACCUUCGUGUCCUUACGGUGGGGAGAACUUAUCAACUGGUAGACCUGACCUGCAUUUUAAAGCUACCAUAUCUGGAGCAUUUGAAUGUGUCUUGCUUACCGAUUCAAGCAUUUCGGCAACUAAGAAUUUUGCAAUUAAAUUCGUUGCAAAGCUUGGAUAGAUUAUGUAAUUCUAAAUUGGAUUUUCCUUCUUUGGAAUACAUUGAUGCGUUUGCUUGCCCACGAAUGAAGAAACUACCUUUUGGGCAAAUGGGUAAACUGAAGAGCAUCAGAGGGGAGCAAACAUGGUGGGAUAAUCUCGAGUGGGAUGACGAAAGCAGUUUCUUGCCAUUGUUGCCAUUUUUUAAAUCAUCAGAAAUUUGCUCGGCAUCCUUUAGGCCAGAGUUAGAUGCUACUGUGAUAUCCUCCUCGCCGAAAGCUUUCUUCACCAAGAGGCAGCCCAUCUUGAAUUCGUCAGUACGAUUCACAUCCUAUCCACAAUCAAUUUUUGAAACAGAGGAAUUCGAUGGGCAUAUGAAGAUGGAAUAG